GUCCACGCCUUAAACGAUGGAUGUUCGGUGUCGGUCCGCAAGGAUCGGUGCCUGAGCCAACGCGUUAAACAUCCCACCUGGGGAGUACGAUCGCAAGGUUGAAACUCAAAGGAAUUGACGGGGGCCCGCACAAGCAGUGGAGCAUGUGGUUCAAUUCGAUGCAACGCGAAGAACCUUACCUGGGUUUGAAAGGCUCUGUAAACCGGUGAAAGCCGGCUAGUGUAGCAAUACACGCGGAGUACAGGUGCUGCAUGGCUGUCGU
rnacentral:rRNA from 1 species